UGCACUUAACGAAGUGAAAAUGUAAAACCAUCCCUCUAGAUAAGCAUAACGACAAAGUUAAGAAAAGGGGAACGGAUAGUAUCUGCAUGUGUGGUUCUCACACUGAAGCAUGGAGGAGGUGGUGUGAUGGUGUGGGGGGCUUUGCAGGUGACACCAUUGCAGGACAAUGACCCAAAACAUAUCUCCAGGUUAUAUAAGUGCUUUAAUCAAGAAGGAGAGUGAAGGAGUGCUGCAUUGGAUGACCUAGGCUUCACAUUCAUCCAACCUAAACCCAGAUGAGAUGGUUUGGGAUGAAUUGGACUGCAGAGUGAAAGAAAAGCAGCCAAGAAGUGCUCAACGCAGAAGGGAACUCCUUCUAGACUGUUGGAAAACCAUCCAGGUGACUACCUCAUGAAGCAGGUUGAGAGAAUGCCAAGAGUGUACAAAGCUGGCAUUAAAGCAAAAGCCUGUGGCGACAAUGGCAAGGAAAAUCUCCCUCAGACGACAUAAGGAAGAAAUCUCGAGAGGAACCGGACUCAAAAGGGAACCCAUCCUCAUUUGGGUGAUAACAGACAACGAGCGAUAUGAUGAGACUCCAGCCAGACGUAGGGCAUCAGGAUGGAUCAGGCAGGUCCGAGGAGCAGAAGAGGUGGAAACCACAAAACCUUGAGGACACCUACGCAGACAAAGUGAAACUCCAUUCAGUUGUUAUACCUUACAGUAAGCGCUCUUAUUCUCAGUACUGUUACGCUUUCCGAGGAGGGUUUAAUUACUGGAGGGGUGCAAAAGAUUUUAAAACUCCCCUACUUCAGAGAA